GCCUGACUGAGUGAUUGUGGUACGCCCCAUCAACCCAUCUUCAAUUGCAGCCAUCUCACCAGUAGAGCACUCUUGCUUGGGUCUAGGAUUUGAAGUGCCAUUUGUAUUUGAUUUCUGAUGGUCAGAUUCUGAGUGAAGAUGAAUUACAGAUUGAACAGGAGAAUGAUUUUCAAAAGAUACAUUGGCAGUCUGACCAUCAGAAUUCUCAUACACAGAAACGGAUCGAUUAUCAUAGUAUGAUUCAUGCACGAGAAAGGAGUUCAAAUCACAAAUGUUACGAGAAUGAUUGACACCAUGAAGCAAUGUCUUAUUCUGUUUGAUAUCCUCAGUAACCUGGUUCCAGAUUUUGGUAAUUUGAGUACUUUGCUCGUGAUCAUUAUGUUCACUAUCUUCAUGAAUCAAACCAUUUGAUUUUCCAGGUGCUACAUGAUUCAAUUCUACUUCACUGCGGUCUUCUUGUAUGCUGGCUGAUUCCGAAG
rnacentral:misc_RNA from 1 species